rnacentral:rRNA from 1 species
GACGAACCGUGCAAACGUUGUUCGGAAUUACUGGGCGUAAAGGGCGCGUAGGCGGCCUUCUAAGUCAGACGUGAAAUCCCUCGGCUCAACCGAGGAACUGCGUCUGAUACUGGAAGGCUUGAAUCCGGGAGAGGGAUGUGGAAUUCCAGGUGUAGCGGUGAAAUGCGUAGAUAUCUGGAGGAACACCGGUGGCGAAGGCGGCAUCCUGGACCGGUAUUGACGCUGAGGCGCGAAAGCUAGGGGAGCAAACGGG